rnacentral:misc_RNA from 1 species
UGUUUUAAAUUGAUUAAUGCUAAUGGUGUCUAUGAAUGAUAGAUUUAACAUAUUUAUUUGAUGUAGUUGUGUACAUUUGUUUUCAUUAUAUCUUUAAAUAUAUAUUCAUUUCAUAAAUUUUAUAAUUUCUUCAAAAAACUUUGAAGUAGCAAUAGGCCAUUACCAUUACAUUACCAUUGUUACAGGCUUGUUUCCCGUACUGAUGGCAACUGCGAUUUAAAUCCAUGAUAGGAAGUCCAAACCAAUUAAGAAAGUAUUGCUAUGAAAAAGAAUCCAACAAAUCUUUGCUAUUUCUCUAGAAUACAAAUACUUCUAUUAUUCAUAAGCUGAAGGUAGAAUGAUGAAUUGAUG